UACAGAGGUGGCAAGCGUUGUUCGGAAUUACUGGGCGUAAAGGGCGCGUAGGCGGGAUGGCAAGUCGGUCGUGAAAUCCUUCGGCUCAACCGAAGAACGUCGAUCGAUACUGCUGUUCUAGAGGGUUGCAGAGGAGACUGGAAUUCCCGGUGUAGCGGUGAAAUGUGUAGAGAUCCGGAGGAACACCAGAGGCGAAAGCGGCGCUCUGGGCUGCACCUGACGCUGAACUGCGAAAGCCAGGGGAGCGAACGGG
rnacentral:rRNA from 1 species